UACGAAGGGGGCUAGCGUUGUUCGGAAUCACUGGGCGUAAAGCGCUUGUAGGCGGAUCGUUAAGUCAGGGGUGAAAUCCCGAGGCUCAACCUCGGAACUGCCUUUGAUACUGGCGAUCUUUGAGUCCGGGAGAGGUGAGUGGAACUCCGAGUGUAGAGGUGAAAUUCGUAGAUAUUCGGAAGAACACCAGUGGCGAAGGCGGCUCACUGGCCCGGUACUGACGCUUAAGAGCGAAAGCGUGGGGAGCAAACAGG
rnacentral:rRNA from 1 species